ensembl:miRNA Mir6346 microRNA 6346
GUGACAGGGCAGAUGACCCAAGUUCAGAUCCUUGGAACCUAUAUAAAGCCAGAUACAAUAGCAGGUGUCUGCAAUGCCAAA